UACGGGGGGGGCAAGCGUUGUUCGGAAUUACUGGGCGUAAAGGGUUUGUAGGUGGCUUGCUAAGUCAGACGUGAAAUCCCUCAGCUUAACUGGGGAACUGCGUCUGAUACUGGAUGGCUUGAAUCCGGGAGAGGGAUGCAGAAUUCCAGGUGUAGCGGUGAAAUGCGUAGAUAUCUGGAGGAAUACCGGUGGCGAAGGCGGCAUCCUGGACCGGCAUUGACGCUGAGGAGCGAAAAGCUAGGGGAGCAAACGGGG
rnacentral:rRNA from 1 species